GGUUACCUUGUUACGACUUCACCCCAGUCAUGAAACACAAAGUGGUAAUCGUCCUCCCGAAGGUUAGACUAACUACUUCUUUUGCAUCCCACUCCCAUGGUGUGACGGGCGGUGUGUACAAGGCCCGGGAACAUAUUCACCGCAGUAUUCUGACCUGCGAUUACUAUCGAUUCCGACUUCAUGGAGUCGAGUUGCAGACUCCAAUCCGGACUACGACAUUCUUUAAGGGGUCCGCUCCACAUCACUGUCUCGCUUCCCUCUGUAAAUGCCAUUGUAGCACGUGUGUAGCCCUACACGUAAGGGCCAUGAUGACUUGACGUCGUCCCCACCUUCCUCCGGUUUGUCACCGGCAGUCUCCUUACAGUGCCCAACUUAAGGCUGGCUACUAAGGACAAGGGUUGCGCUCGUUGCGGGACUUAA
rnacentral:rRNA from 1 species